AUACCGCAUGCCAUCGAGGCAACACCGUGUGCGGCUGCCAUUGUUGCCAUACACUCGUCGAGAUGCCGUCGGGCUUGUUUUAUUGCCUUCACUUCAGCUUCAUCGUACGGCUAUCAUUUGCCAUCGUAGUCUCGCGCCAUCGUUGUCGUGCACUCGUCGUGAUCUUAUUGCCGUCGUACCAUUUUCAUGACAUUGUUGUUAUUGCGUCUUCAUCACGCGUUCGUCAUCAUACCGCCGUCGUCCGGCCGUCGUCAUCACGUGUCCUUGUGGUUCCAUCGUCGUCAUUCUUUGGCCGCCAUUCUAGCGUAAUCAUACUGUCGUCAUUCAAUCUCCAAUGCGCUGUCGUUGUCGAGCUAAUGACGUCAUCGCGUCGCCACCAAAAAGCCUCCGUCAGGCAUUCGCUGUCCUAUCGUGUUCGUCAUUCCGUCACGGGGCCACCGUCUUCAUCGUUCCAGCUUCGUCAUCCUCUUGUCGUCAUACACUCGCCACGAUUCCGUGUCCGCAUGCCCUAUUUGCCACGCUGUCGUCGUUAUACCACUGUAAUCACUUCAAAAUGUUCAUUUCAUUGUCCUCACGCCACUUCCGUCGUGCUUGCAUCAUCGAAGCCAUUCCGUCUUUAUUCCAUCGUUGUCACUGUAGCCUGCACUUCGCUAUAUUCUUCCUAUGUUCGCGCUUUAUGCUCUUGUGCUUAUACGGGAUGGAAAAUUCCGUUCUCUACGCUUGAAUUACCGCCAGUUGCUCGAUCUCAAAGUUUGUAGACAACGUGCGCUCAAGAAUGUGUGCUUCAUUUUUUGCGCACCGUUUUCGAAGAGGCAGGUGAGGCCAACGCCGGCACAUCUGACCAAAGUGCACGAACACGAAUAACGAGAAUAGAUAGAACAGUGUUGGUGAUAGGUACGCGAGGAAGGUCAAGUAGAUAUGAAAUCUACGUCAUCGUAGCUGUAUUUCAGCUCACUUGCGACACCUCAAGCCGGAUAAGAACCCUAGAAAGCAGCCACCCCGUUUAACCAGUGCGAAAGAACGUAGUCGAAAGAACCAGUGCGAAAGAACGUAGUCGAGCUGCCACCAUGCACGACCAAGGAACAAGCGUGGUGCAUGUGUUGAGCGGGCAUGCCGUCACCGGCGUGAACUGGAGACCAACGUGGUUUGCCGAAGACGUGCCACAUUCGCGCAUCUGUGGCCUCUGCCACAUGGUACCCGAGAGGACGGUGCUGUUGCCGUGCUCGCACUUUCUGUGCGAUGCCUGUAGCGCGGCGACAGAUCAAGAUGGUGUGCCCCUUGGAUAUGAAGACAUUCGAAGAGGACGAGUGCUCGUGGAUUGACUUCCCUGCCAGGAGAGCGAUAAAUCUCAAGGCACACUGCUGGAAUAGGGCUGAUGGCUGCGACUUCGUAGGUACAAUCAAAGCUGUAUUGCAACACUACGAGACAGAAUGUGCCCACCACGCCCUCAAGUGUCCGCGGUGCGAACGAAGGAUACUGCACCGAGACCUCGGGGCACAUUACGUGGCGGGGUGCUCUCGAAGUGAUCCCUCUGCAAGUGGCGCACAGCCGAACCUGCAGAAAAGUUCAUUGACCAUUCGUGAUGCGAGUGCCACGCUGGAGGAAAUCAAGUCCUUGAGAGCAUUCUGUCACGACCAGCUGUCUGCUCUUCAGAUAAAAGUUAACGGGCUCCUGGAACUAUCCAAAACCUCGGAUGCAGCGCGAUAUCCGGAUAUCAGCCGCGUGGUCAGGGAUUUAGAAAACUGCUUGGCAUGCAAAUUGUAAGGAAUAGCGGCCCAAAUCACCCGUAUGUUCACGCGUCAACUGAAUGACGGUCUGAAUAAACUAAAGGCACUUCUCAGGGAACCAGGGAUUGAUCACGCGCCUACUGUUCAGACUGAAAUUAACAAACGCGCUGAAGAAUCAAGGGCUCGCGAAACCGCCUACUUAGAGAAAACCACUGGUGUCCUUAGAGACUCUGAAACUAAAUCGAAGGCAGAAGUGAACAAAGUUAGGGCAAAUCUUUCUGCAACGCUCACGCAGCAACAUCGGUCUCAGGAAAGAGCAGUUGAUUCUUUGCCGCGGAAAUGCGUAUCUCCGGAGUAUGAAGAGGCCGCUGUUGUAACCGCUUCAGGGGAAUGGAAGAUUCCGUGGCACUUGGGAAAAGAAGCUAAUUCUGCUAAAGUUGGAAAUCUUCGCUCACGCAUUCAUGAGCACUCUAGAAUUAUUUCGCCAAGAAAACCAGCCACAGGCAGAUUGACUCUUCGUUUGGAAUCAUCCACGCCAUCUGGCAGAACUCGCGGACCGUGUGAACGA